UUUUUUGCUUCUUUUCAUGAUUCUUAUGUAACACAUCUGAAAAUUAGGUUAAGCCUAAUUUAUGUUAAUGUAUUGUAUAUUGUGUACUAGUAUGUGUUAUUAACAGGAGAGUUCAAUAUGUAAUGUAAUUUUUCAAUGUACUGUAUAUUGGGGUUAUGUGAAUAUCCUCUUGUCCGCGGUUCCACGGACAUUAGUGAUUUUUAUUAAUAGUAACACUACGUGAAAGUUACGGACUUUGAGACCAGUGAUCCACGGUUGUAUUUUUUCCACUUGAGUCGGUUCAGCGGGACGGGGUGGAGUCACAGCUGUUUUCAAUUACUGCUGUUGCUAUGAGCUGUUGAGUCUCGCUAGCAGGGGUUUUUUUUUUUGGACUGGGGAUUAAACACGGAAAAAGGAGGACUACUUAGAGGUGCUGGAGGGAGGUUCGUGGUACAGAGUCUUCUCAGCUGCUGCGGAUGGUAGUGGGUCGUAUGGACGACGGUCAAUGUUGGUAUUUGAAGUCAACGUCCUAGAGUGACUACAGUUAGCUUGGGGAAGCUAACUCACAGCUGUUCCUGCAGCAGUUCACAUGAUUUUACCCUCAAAACCAAAGAGCAGAGAAGAUUUCCUGCAGUGAUGUAGAUAGUUGAAGGUAGCCCAGGCUCACGUGUCUUCCAGAUUCCUCAGUUCAGAAGUCUGCGGGACGCACCGACCAUCCCCUCUUUGUAGAUCAGCCGAAACCGGAUCACUCCGGAUGCUGGAAAGGGGAUCCCUGAAAAGGCCGUCAGCUAUUGUCACAGCAACUUUCUGAAACACAAAAACCUGUUAAGCAUCAACAAUAUAGAUUUCUAUUACAUUGGAGCCUUCUUUAUUCGACUGGCAUGAAUCCACUGUGGAAAAAGGUCAGUUAGUACAGCCGUUCGAGUUACAGCGAGCACAUCCGUGGGUUCACUGUAGGGCGGUUCCUCCAAAGGAGCGCCUAAUUUCGCAAAUUUCUUUACCAACACUUUAUCCCCUACCUCAAAGGGGUGAGUGGGUGCCUCAGGAAUGGGAGGCUUUUUGGAAUUUAGUCUCGUCCAGUAUUCAUCCAACACCCGCAUGAGACCCACGGCGUACUCACUGAGAUGUACAUCAAGAUCACUCGUUCCUAUAGCCUGCAUACCUCUGCGCCAGGGUGUAGGAAAAGGCCGGCCCAUCACGAGCUCAUACGGAGACAGGUUGUCGAGGGCCACUUGAGCGGUCAUUCGCAUGUCAGCGAGGACUAAGGGUAAAAUUUGUACCCAGUUUUUAGUGCCGGUUUCUUGCAUUGCCUUGCGCAGCUUACCCUUGAUUGUUCUAUUUGCGCGCUCCACAAUGCCGGAGGAUUGUGGAUGGUACGGGAUGUGGAAUCGCCAAAGGAUUUUUAAGUCUUUACACAGUUCUUGGGUCACCUUAGAGGUGAACGGCGUACCUUUGUCAGAGUCUAUCCCUACCGGGAGGCCAUAACGCGGAAUGAUUUCUUGCGUCAAUUUGUUUACCGCCGUGCGAGCGUCUUCUUUCCCGCAAGGGAAAGCCUCCACCCAUCGUGAAAAUUUGUCGACCAUGACCAAGAGAUACUUAAAGGGGCCCUGUUUUGGCAUGUGAGUAAAGUCAAUCUGCCAUUCCUGGAACGGCGUGUCAGGUAUGGGAAGGUGCUGAUGUACCGCGCCUGGUUUAGAUGGAUUAUUCUGUGCGCACGUUAAACAUCUGUCUAGAAUGUGAUGUACAUCGGUGUGUAUUUUGUCGAUGCAAAAUAUUUUGGAUAAAUCCUCCACUACCCCCCUUCGUCCGCGGUGAGUGGGACCAUGAAACUCGCGGACGAGAAAUGGAGUGCAAUGUCUAGGCAAACAAAGGCGGCCCUGAGCAUCGAUCCGAACGCCGUCAGACGGCUGCGCGCCGCAUGAGUCCCAGAAAUGGUUGUCUGAGGCCGAAGCGGAGGCCUGGAGGGAGAUCAAGUCAAUGUCCGGAAGAACGGCACUAAUCAUACGGCUGGAUGAGACCAGGGAGAGAGUAAGCGAAGGCGGAAAAACACCGGAGGCAGCCGCGGCUUUGGCAAUGCGAUCGGCGAGAGAGUUUCCCCUGAUCUCAAAAGAGUCCCCAAUACAAUGAGCACGAGUCUUAACAAUGGCUAAAGAGCGCGGGAGAAGACAGGCGGUGAUUAAAUCAGUAACAAGCGAAGAAUGAGAAAUGGGCUUACCGUCUGCAGUGGUGAACCCACGCGAAGCCCAAAUCCGACCAAAGUCGUGAGCAACGCCGAAAGCGUAACGUGAAUCAGUGUAUAUAGUGACGUCUGUGUCCUGGGCAAUAACACAUGCACGGGUUAGAGCGUAUAGUUCGGCAGCCUGAGCCGAGGAGAAAGGAAGAGAAAAAGCUUCAACAGUUUCAUCAGGAAGGCGGCACACAGAAUAACCACACACGAAAACGCCGUCAGAGGGGCGUGAGCACGAGCCGUCCACAAACAGCGAAUCACCUGAAAGUAACGGGGUGGAGCGUAAGUCGGGGCGGAUACUUGUCUCGAAAAGAAUGCUAGAAAUGCAGUCGUGUGUUUCAGAAGGAAGAAAAUCAUCCUGUGAAUUGAGGAGGCGCUGAAGCGCGUGCGCGAGAGAAUCAAAAGAGGAGGAGGGCUUAACAGUAAGGUUUUCGGUGGCCAAAAGAAUAGACUCGUAUCCAGAGCGACGCUGCGCAGAUAAAUGCUGGGUACUGAGGUUCUUUAAAACGUGCACUACAUCAUGUGAGGUGUGGAGAACGAGCGGGUGAGACAAAACCAGCCGUUCAGCGUCCGUGACCAUGACAGCACAUGCAGCCACCGCCCUGAGGCAAGCAGGGAGACCCUGUGCCACAGAAUCAAGAGUUUUAGAGAGGAACGCACAAGGCCGCAUACCCCCCCCGUGCUCCUGCGCCAAAACCCCAGACGCAGUUCCCUGCUGGUUGCACACAUAUAAAUGAAACGGCAAACGGUAAUUCGGAAGUCCGAGAGCAGGGGCCGAGCAUAAAGCCUGUUUCAAGGCCCUGAAGGCCGUCAGCAUCUCAUCAGACCACACCAGGGGCUGAGUCAAAGGGUCCGAGUGCAGAAUUGCAGAGCGCAGACACUUGUCAUAGGUGGAACAGUCAGGAAUCCACUGGCGGCAGUAAUUGAUAAGUCCCAGAAAAGCCAUGA